AUCAACGCUGGCGGCGUGCCUAAUACAUGCAAGUCGAACGCGAAAGUGGAGCAAUCCAUGAGUAGAGUGGCAAACGGGUGAGUAACACGUGGGUGACCUGCCUUCGAGUGGGGGAUAACGUCCCGAAAGGGACGCUAAUACCGCAUAACAUCCUGCCUUUUAAGAGGUGGAGAUCAAAGCCGGGGAUCGCAAGACCUGGCGCUUGUAGAGGGGCCCGCGCCUGAUUAGCUAGUUGGUGAGGUAACGGCUCACCAAGGCAACGAUCAGUAUCCGGCCUGAGAGGGCGGACGGACACACUGGGACUGAGACACGGCCCAGACUCCUACGGGAGGCAGCAGUAGGGAAUUGUUCGCAAUGGGCGCAAGCCUGACGACGCAACGCCGCGUGGAGGAUGAAGACCUUCGGGUCGUAAACUCCUUUCGAUCGAGACGAAUGGCUUCCGGCUUAAUACGCCGGGAGAAUGACGGUACCGAGAGAAGAAGCCCCGGCUAACUCCGUGCCAGCAGCCGCGGUAAUACGGGGGGGGCAAGCGUUGUUCGGAAUUACUGGGCGUAAAGGGCUCGUAGGUGGCCAACUAAGUCAGACGUGAAAUCCCUCGGCUUAACCGGGGAACUGCGUCUGAUACUGGAUGGCUUGAGAUUGGGAGAGGGAUGCGGAAUUCCAGGUGUAGCGG
rnacentral:rRNA from 1 species